GAGAUGCGCUGUACGUGUGUCAUGAGGAGACUGUGUUUCAGAUACCGCAACUCUUCUAGUGACUCAAUAAAGCUACAUCACAUCUAGAUCUACAACAUGAUAGCCCGAAGUUUGUUACUCCUGCUUCUUUUUAUCAUGCUUUUGGUUUGUUGCACCAGCGGCUGCCACACAAAAGCAUCGGAAAAGUAUGAAAAGCAAGUUCUAGAACACCUAUUGGUUGCUAAUAAUUUGCCCAAGUUCUACACAUUCUAUAUAAUGACUGACGCUCGAUACAAAAAAACAAAAGAAAAAUUUAGGGACUUGAUACCUGUGAUGAAGAGUAGGUUAACCAAUGGUGAGAAGUCGCCCAGAGGCUGGAAUAUGGGUUUGUGGUAGAACAGAUCAAUUUCGGAAGCGGAGAUUCAAUGAAGCCUGCAAAACCAAAGAAAACAUUUCUCUUCAGUACCUCACAUCCAUUGCUUUUCUGUUUCUAAAAUUAGAGAUGAAAAUGAAAAUAAAAAAAAUGUUUAUUAUAUUUGACAAGAUGUUCGGAUUAUAAGAGAAUUAAAAGUAUGGAGACGAAAUCACUAUAUUGAGAGACGAGAAUUUCUGUUCAUUUUUCCACUGUUUCAAAAAAAAUAUUUUAACAACAAUGUGAUCUAUAACUUAAUCUAUAAUUUGAUCAAUCAUUGAAAAUAAAAAUCUGUAUAUAUAUAUAUA